rnacentral:rRNA from 1 species
UGGGGGAUAUUGCACAAUGGGGGAAACCCUGAUGCAGCAACGCCGCGUGAGGGAAGAAGGUUUUCGGAUUGUAAACCUCUGUCCUUAGUGAAGAUAAUGACGGUAGCUAAGGAGGAAGCUCCGGCUAACUACGUGCCAGCAGCCGCGGUAAUACGUAGGGAGCGAGCGUUGUCCGGAAUUACUGGGUGUAAAGGGUGCGUAGGCGGCAGAACAAGUCAGAUGUGAAAUACAUAGGCUUAACCUAUGAACUGCAUUUGAAACUGUACUGCUUGAGUGAAGUAGAGGCAGGCGGAAUUCCCUGUGUAGCGGUGAAAUGCGUAGAGAUAGGGAGGAACACCAGUGGCGAAGGCGGCCUGCUGGGCUUAAACUGACGCUGAGGCACGAAAGCAUGGGUAGCAAACAGG